rnacentral:misc_RNA from 1 species
GAAAUGCGAUAAGUAGUGUGAAUUGCAGAAUUCAGUGAAUCAUCGAACCUUUGAACGCACAUUGCGCCCUUUGGUAUUCCUUAGGGCAUGCCUGUUCGAGCGUCAUCUAAACCUUCAAGCCCUGCUUGGUGUUGGGUGCCUGUCCCGCCUCCGCGCGCGGACUCACCUCAAAUCCAUUGGCGGCCCCCGCGUCGGCCACGAGCGCAGCAGAAACGCGAACUCGUGAGCCCGUCCGGGCGGCUCCCAGAAGCUACACCCACCCAGUUUGACCUCGGAUCAGGUAGGGAUACCCGCUGAACUUAAGC